GUUCUCUCCUUUUUUAAUCUUUGAUAAUAAAUAAAGACACAUCACAAAUAACUCAGACUUUGAAAUGUAGUGCCAUGGUGGAAAUAGCAUGCUUUGAGGUCAGAUAGACCUGAGUUACAACCCUAGGUUGCCACUUACUACAUAUGCAGCCUUGGAUAAGUGAUUUAACCUCUCUGCAUAUCAGUUUUCUCAUAAGUAAAAUGGGAAUAGUAACAUUCAUCUUACAGUUGAUGUGAGGAUUAAAUAAGAUCAUAUAUAUCAAGUACACACCAAAGUGGCUGGCAUAUACAAAGUUUUAUACAAUAUGUACACUUGUACACAGCAGAAUUUCUGUAAGGGAAAGAACUGAAGACCUGGGAACCCACGAACAGAUUGUAAGCUUCUGAAUAAUUGCUAGCUUUUUUCAUGAGAAUAGGAUUAGAAGUUUCAUCAGAUCAGAGCUAUAAGCUCUAUGGUAUUUCUAUUACUAACAUUCUUUUAAUAUUUAAUUACACUGGGUUUAUACCUGUGAGUGUUGCAAAAAGAAGGUCAUCGAGCUUUUCACCAGGCCAAAGAGAAUCCCAUGUAUAAAGUUGUCUGCCACUACUUAACAAACUCAUAGCAUUUUAGGAGGGUUACAGUGUAGGAAGGAUGCUUUUUUGCCCUUAGUGGGGAAGAGUAGGUUAUUAACUGACAUAAUGGAGUCAGGCAAAAGAAAGCUAUUUGUAAUCUGUACCACUUCAGAGACCUGGAAUGAAACAGGAGGAGGCUUAUAAUUCACAGUAUGAGAGUAAAUAACCUUAAUGGAAUGUUUGGGUGUCUGGAUCCCCGGAGUUUUUUUCAGCACAAGUGACAUAAGUGUGAGUUUGCAGGGAAUAAGGGCAUCUUUUUUUUUCAGCACACUGCCAAGGGAAAUUAUGUAUAGAACUUCUGCUUAUGCAUGCAUUACAAGAGUGAAGAAUUUAAAAUCUUUUUCACCCAGGAUAAGAACUUAUUUCUUUUCUAGUUCUUCUCCCAAGCCUUCUUCUUAGCAGUCCAGGUGCCACUGUAUGUGUCUCCCUCAGAAUACUGACCUGUCUGAGAGAUGCAGGAAAUGUGAAAACUGCUAUGUUUCCGUUUCCACAGCAAGAGAUGAUGAGCCUUCUGGAUAAUCUGCAAGGUUGAAACGUGAAGAUGAUCAAAUGUCCCCGUGCCUUAUAUGGCCUUUUGGGAGAGCACACUCUGAAUCAGCUUGCUGAAUGUACAGGUUAUUUGUCAUGGCAGCAUAAAGUACCAGAUUGAAAACAAAUCAGAAAUUUCUUCUACUGUGGGCAGUAUUAAUGGGUGUCAUAUAAAGAAAGUUUUAUCCAAAUAACGAAAGAGGAAAUAGGCUACAAUAUAUAAAACAUUGAAUAUACUAGAGUCUGAUGUCAGUAUUUUUUCAGGACAAGUGUUCAGCAUUUCACAGGAAGGAGAUUAAUUCCCCCCAGUCCUUAUUAUCAUUAACACUGGAAGGUUGUAUUAGCACACUCAAGAAAAUUUUUGUUUUUGUAUUAUAUUUUUACUUGAUAAAAAUAUGCCUUCUAGGAUAUAUUCUAUAAAAAUUAUCAAAAUAAAGAGGCAAUUUAUAGUCACAUUAGCUCAAGGGAAAAGCUGCUGUUUAGUUCAGAAAAGUUCAGUUCUUUUAUUGCUAGAUUUUUUUUUGAGACAGGGUCUUACUCUGUUGCCCAGGCUGGAGUGCAGUUGUGUGGUCAGUUUACUCCAGCCUUGACCUCCUGGGCUCAAGCGAUCCUCCCACCUCUCAGCCUCCUGAGUAGCUGGGACUACAGAUGCACACCACGACACCCAGUUAAUUUUUGUAGUUUUUCAUAGAGAAGAGGUUUCACUAUGUUGCCCAGGCUGGUCUCAAACUCCUGGGCUCAAGCAGUCUGCCAGCCUCAAUCUCCCACAGUGCUGGGAUUACAGGCAUGAGCCACUGCACCUGGCCAGCUGGAUUCUUUUUAAAUUAUUUUUCUUGUCAUGGUUACUAUACUGAUAGAGAGUAACUGGAAUAAGCUAUGCAUAAUUAUCAUGUACCCCGGGGCUUGAUUGUGACCUGGAGCUCUCUACUGGAUUUUCAAACCAGGCUGAAAGAAGAGCUCAGUGAGGAGAGAAACUGAUUUUACCUUCCUUACUAGGAAAUUAAGGAACUACACCUAAUGGAUAGAGGUCAUAUAAUUAAAACUGACAGUUCCUCUUUGGAAGUUUCCACAUUUGGGAUGGGCAGUGCUCCCAUUGUUUACUAGAUCCUAGGAAAAACAGAGCUUAAGGCACCAUCUACUACUGAAAAGAAGAUAGUGACCUAGUGAGGAAAAAAACUGAAAUCCAACAGGCAAAUUACAAAGAAUCUCUAAGCAAACAUAAUGAAUAAAAACCAAAACAAGACAGACAGAGAAGACUGGAAUAAAUAACUAAUUCUUUAAUGCAAAAACAGACAUGCAUCCACAAGAAGUAAUACUGAACAGGGAACCAUAACCUUCCCAAAUGGACAAAGCAAGGAACUAGUGACUGACCCUAAUGAGACAGCAAUAUUUGAGCCCUCUGAUCAGCAAUUCAAAAUGGCAAUAUUAUGGAAACUCAGUGAUUUCCAAGAUAACACAGAGAAGCAAUUCAGAAAUUUAUCAGAAAUAGUUAAUAAAAAAUUUAAAUAGAAAAAAUCAGACAGAAAUCAUGAAACUUAGAAAUACAUUUGCUAAUCUGAAAAAAAUCAUUAGAGGCUCUCAAUAACAAAAUGGAGCUGAAGAAAGAAUCAGUGAGCUCAAAGAAAAGCUUUUUGAAAAUAAAGGAGAGAAAAAGAAUGAAAAGGAAAAGAGAUCACCUACAAGAUACAGAAAACUGCCUCAAAACAUCAAACGUAAGAAUUAUUUGUGUACAAGAGGGAGUUGAGCAAGAGCAAGGGGAUUGAAAGCAUAAUUCAAUAAAUAAUAGCAAAAACUUUCCAAAACUUGAGAAAGAUAAAUAUCCAGGUAUAGGAAGGUCAGAGCACACCAAAAGAUUCAACCAAAAUCGUCUACCCCAAAGACACAUAAUAGUCAAACUACCCCAAGGCAUAUAAUAGUCAAACUCUCAAAGGUCAAGGUCAAAGAGAAGAUCCUAAAUACAGCAAGAGAAAAGAUGUGCAAAACAUAUAAAGGAGCUUCAAUUUAUUUGGCAACAGACUUCUCAAUGGAAACCACACAGGCCAGGAGGGAGUAGGAUGACAUUUUCAAACUACUGAGGGGCAGGGAGCAGGAAGCUGUCAUCCAAGAAUACUGUAUCCAGCAAAGUUAUCCUUCAAAAAUAAAGCAGAGAUAAAGUCUUUCCCAGAUAAACAAAAGCUGAGAGAAUUAACCAUCACCAGACCAAUCUUACAAGAAAUGGUAAAGGAGCUUUUCAAUUUGAAAGAAUGCAAAAAGAAAACAUUUGAAGGUACACAAUCCCCUGGCAAAAUUAAGUACAUGGACAAACCCAGAGUACUCUACUACUGUAAUUGUGUAAUCAACUCAAAACUCUAGUAUGAAGCCCAGAAGACAAAUCUAUCAAAAACAAUAAUCACUGAAGAAACCUGUUAAAAGAUAGGUAGUAUACAAAUACAUAAGUAGAGAUGAUUAAAAUCAAAACGUAGAGGGGAUGAAGUUAAAUUGUAGAAUUUUUUUCUUUGUUUCUAUUAUUUUCAUUGUGAUUUAAGAAAAGCUGUCCUCUCUUUAAAAUAACUUGUUACAUCUAUGACAUAUUUUUUGGUAAGCCUCAUGAUAGCCAGAAUGCAAAAACCUGUAAUAGAUUCACUAAAAAUAAAAAACAAUUAAAACUUAAUGCCAGAGAAAAUAACACAGCUACAAAGGAAGAAAGAAAGAAGGGAAGAGAGGAGCUGCAAAACCAGCAGAAAACAAGCAAAAAAGGGCAGUAGAAAGUCCUUACUUGCCAAUAACAACAUUGAAUGUAAAUGGGUUCAAUUCUCCAAUUAAAAGCAUAGAAGAGACUGGGUGGAGCAAGAUGGCUGAAUAGAUGCCUCCACCAAUCAUCCUCCCCACAGCAACACCAAAUUGAGCAACUACUUAGACAAAAAGCACCUUCAUAAGAAUCAAAAAUCAUGUGAGAGAUCACAGUACCUGGUUUCAGCAUCAUUUUAAGGAAAGAGGCACUGAAGAGGGUAGGGAAGACAGUCUUGAAUUGCCUACACCACCCCUCUCCCAUCUCCUAGCAGUGGUUGCAUGGUAUAGAGACAGACUCUGUGAACUUGGGAGAGGGAGAGGGCAGUGACUGUGGCAGUUUGUGUUGGAACUCAGUGCUGCCCUGUCACAGCAGAAAGCAAUACUGGGCAGAACUCAGCUGGUGCCCACAGAGGGAACAUUUAGACAAGCCCUAAUCAGAUAGGAAAUGCCAAUCCCAGUGGUCAGAACCUGAGUUCUAGAAAGUACCGCUACUGGAAGCUGAGGCUCUGGGGUCCUAAAUAAACUUGAAAGGCAGUCUAGGGCACAAGGACUGCAAUUCCUGAGCAAAUCCUGGUGCUUUGCUGGGCUCGAAGCCAGUGAAUGUGGGGUACACAUGACCUAGUGACCACCAGCCAAGGUGGUCAAGGGAUUGCUUGUGUAACCCCUCCCACAAUGUCAGGCAGUGCAGCUUGCAGCUCUAGGAGAGACUCCUUCCUUCUGCUUGAGGAGGGAGAAGGGAGAAUAGAGGACUUUGUCUUGUAACUUGAAUACCAACUUAGCCACAGUAGGAUAGGGUACCAGGAAGAGUCCUGAGGCCUCAAUUUUAGGUCCUAGCUCAUGGGUGACAUUACUAGACACACGCUGUGCCAGAAGGGAACAUGCUGUAUUAAAGUGAAAGACCCAGUCCUGCAGGAUUUAUCACCUGCUAACUAAAGAGCCAUUGGGCCCCGAAUAGUCACUAGAGGUAGCCAGGCAGUACUUACCAUGGGCCUUGGGUGAGAUUCAGAGAUAUGCUACCUUUAGGUGUCACCCAACAUAUGCACAGCUAUGGUGACGAUAAGCAGAGACUCAUUCUGCUUGAUAAAAGCAAAGGGAAGAUAAAGGAGACUUUGACUUGCAGGUUAGGUACCAGCUUGGCCACAGUGAGGAAGAGCACCAAGCAGGCUCUUGGGUUCCCCAGUUCUAGGCCUUGACUCUUGAAUGGCAUUUCUAUACCUACCCAGGGCCAGAGUGCAGCUCACUGCCGUGAAGGGUGAGUCCCAGAUCAGACAGGAUUCACCAUAUCCUUAUUGAAGAGCCCUUGGGCCUUGAGUGAACAUUGCCAGUAGCCAGGCAGUAGGUGCUGUGGGCCUGGGGCAGUAGUGGCCACAGCGAGAUAACUGUGUAUUUGUGGAAAGGGGAGGGAAGAGUGAAAAGGACUUUGUCUUCUGGCUUUGGUGCCUGCUCAGCCACAUUGGAACAGAGCACCAGGUUGAUACUUAAGGUUUCUGAAUCUAAGUGCUGACUCCCAGAUGGCAUCUCUGGAACUGCCUGGAACCUGGGGGAAUUCGCUGCCCAGAAGGGAAGAACAGAAACCUGGCUGGCUUUGCAACCUGCUGAUUGUAGAGCCCUAGGGCCUUGAGAGAAUAUAGGCAGUAGUUAUGAUGGGUCUUGGGUGAGAAUCAGUGCUGUACAGGCUUCAGGGCUGACCCAGCACAGCCCUAGUGGUGGUGGCCACAGGGGCACUUGUGUUACCCCUCUCCUAGCUCCAGGCAGCUCAGCACAGAAAGAGACUUUGUUUGUUUGGGGGAAAGUAAGGGAAGAGAAUGAGAACCUCCAUCUGGUAAUCCAUGGAAUUCUUCAGGAUCUUAUCCAACACCACCAAGAUGGUAUUUAUAUGAGUAUGCAAGAGCCACAGCAUUACUGGGCUUGAGGAGCCACCAAAUGUGCAUAUAAUGCAAUGAUCAAAGACUUAGAUCACAACACCCAAAUCCCUGUGAAUAUUCGGAAAGCCUUCCCAGGGAGGACAAGCAUAAACAGGCACAGACUGUGAAGACAACAAUAAAUAUCUAACUCUUCAAUGCCUAGACACUGAUGAACAGCCACAGUAUCAAGACCAUCCAGGAAAAGAUGCCUUUACCAAACAAAGUAAAUUAAGCAUAAUGACCAAUCUCAGAGAGACUGAGAUAGUAGACCUUUCAGACAGGAGAACUCAAAAUAGCUGUUUUAAGGAAGCUCAGUGAAAAUCAAGAUAAUACAGAGAAGGAAUUCAGAAUCUUACCAGACAAAUUUUAAAAUGGGAUGGAAAUAAUUAAAAGGAACCAAGCAGAAAUUCUUGAGCUGAAAAAUUCAAUUGAAUACUGACGAAUGCAAAAGGGUUUCUUAACAGCAGAAUUGACUAAACAGAAGAAAGAAUUAGUGAGCUUGAAGACAGGCUACUUGAAAAUACACAUAGAGAAGAGACAAAAAAAGGAAAAAAGAAAAAAGCACACUCACAAGAUCUAGAAAAUAGCCUAAAACUGGCAAAUCUAAGAGUUAUUGGACUUAAAGAGGAGGUAGAGAGAAAGAUAGGGGUAGAAAGUUUAUUCAAAGGAAUAAUGACAGAAUUUCCCAAACCUAGAGAAUGACAUUAAUAUUCAAUUACAAGAAGGUGAUAGAAGACCAAACAGAUUUAAGCCAAAUAAGACUACAUCGAGACAUCUGAUAAUAAAACUUCCAAAGGUGACAAAUAAGGAAAGGAUCCUAAAAGCAGCAAGAAACAACAUACAAUGGCACUUCAACAUAUCUCGCAGCAGACUUUUCAGUGGAAACCUCACAGGCCAGGAGAGACUGGCAUGACAUAUUUAAAGUGUUGAAGGAAUAAAAUCCCUUUUUACCCUAGAAUAGUAUAUAUAGCAAAAAAUAUUCUUCAAACAUGUAGGAGAAAUAAAGACUUUCCCAGAAAAACAAAAACUGAAGCAUCAACAGCAGAAGUGUUCUAUAAGAAAUGCUAAAAGGAGUUCUUUGAUGUGAAAGAAAAGAAUGUUAAUGAGCAAAAAAUAAAAAUUUGAAGGUACAAAACUCACUGGUAAUAGCGCACAGAAAACACAGAAUAUUGUAACACUGUAGGUGUGAUAUGUAAACUACUCAUAUCUUGAGUAGAAAGACUAAAAGAUGAACUGAUCAAAAAUAACUAUAACAACUUCUGAAGGCAUAGGCAGUACAAUAAGAUACAAAUAGACAUAAAAAAAUUAAAAGCAUGAGGAUGAAGUUCAUUUGCAGUUUUUAUUAGUUUUAUCUUUGUUUGUUUAUGCAAUUAGUGUUGUCAUCAGUUUAAAAUAAUGGGUUAUAUUAUUGCAAGCCUUACAGUUUGUAUUAGUCAGGGUUCCCUAGAGGGACAGAACUAAUGGAAUAUAUCUAUAGGGGAAUUUAUUAAGCAUUAACUCACAUGAUCACAAGGUCUCAAAAUAGGCUGUCUGCAGGCUGAGGAGCAAGGAGAGCCAAUCCGAGUUCCAAAACUGAAGAACUUGGAGUCCGACAUUCAAGGACAGAAAGCAUCCAGCACUAGAGAAUGAUGUAGGCUAGGAGGCUAGGCCAGUCUCUUUUUUCACAUUUUUCUGUCUGUUUAUAUUCUAGCCACACUGACAGCUGAUUAGAUUGUGCCUACUCAAAUUAAGGGUGGGCCUGCCUUUCCCAGCCCACCAACUCAAAUGUUAAUCUCCUUUGGCAACACUGUCACAGAAAUACCCAGGAUCAAUACUUUGUAUUCUUCAGUCCAAUCAAGUUGACCAGUAUUAACCAUCACAAGUCUACCUUUUGUCAACUUGAACCCAUACACAUCUCCUGAGAUCAUACAUAAUAUUCAAAUAUAGAUGAUAAUAAGGUCAUAGUUACACCAAACAUAAUACAACUAUCCUUUGUACAACUGCAACUGCAUCAAUCCCCAACCCAAAUACUAUUACAUAAAGUUAACAAUACUUAAAUGUUGAUGUGAAGUCAAUAAAUCUUAUGUCACAUGAUAAAGGAGAAAGGAAAUAAAAUGAAGAUAUUUUCUUAGUACAAGUGUAUAUACGCAUAAACGUUUUUUUAACAAAAGAAGGAGGAAAUACUCAUGACAAUUACAGUCUUCAUUUUUCCAGCUGGUCACGUGGUUGUAGCUGGUACUGACGACUGCUUUCUACUACCCAUUCUGUAUUCCCUUUGCCUUCAGGAAGCACUUCAGCAGGUCAUGGUUUUUUUUUUUUCCUGAUAAAGUGACCCAAACCUUCAUUCCUGAAGGGUCUGGGUCAUUUGUAGUCCUGCCUGGAUUGUGCUGUUGUAGUUUCCCAUUGACCAUAAUCACAGGGCAUGGUAAUACUAACAGACGCCCUAAUGGAUCUCCUGUAUUCCAUGCAUACUCUUCCUUACAUCCAUUGUGCAGUAGUAGACUGAUUUCAUCUUGAUAGUCUGGGUCAAUCACCCCAGACAACACUGUAACUCCAUUCUUAGCCUGUUGACUUAAAGGUAGGAGAAGCCCAAAAUGUUCAGGUGGCAAUCAUAACUUCCUGUUUAAUGGAAUCCUUGUUGUGUCUCCUGGUGGCAGUGUUCCUCCCUCUGAAAUAAGACUCUCACUCAGGGCAAUCUUAGCAGAUUUGAGACUCAGUAUCUGCUUCUGAAGCCAGGAGACAGAAUCCUUGAGUUCAUCAUUUUCCUUCACCAGUUUUUCCACUGAACUUAGGAGCAGCCAACCAGCUUCAUUAUGUUCCUUGGUUCUCCACAUAAGGUCAAAAGUAUUAUGUAUAGAGUCACUAAACUCCUUGCCUCUCAUGAGCAAUGAAUCAGGAGUGUCGAGUGUAUUUAUUUUGCUAACUCUCUAAACAGUUCAUGCCAAGGACCAUCAGUGUUCUCCAUACUAUUAGAAGUAGAGUCCUUAACAUUUUUGUGUCUAAUCAUAUUAAGCAGCCAAUUCCAGAAACCCCCAAACCAACAAAAGAACUCCAUCCUUAAUAUUCUGUUCUUCUAGAACCACUGCUGGUACCAAAAUCUGUAUUAGUCAGCGUUCUCUAGAGAAACAGAACUAAUGGAAUUAUAUAUAUGAGUUUAUUAAGUAUUAUACCACCACAAGGUCCACAAUAGGCUGUCUUCAGGCUGAGGAGCAAGGAGAGCCAAUCCGAGUUCCAAAACUGAAGAACUUGGAGUCUGAUGUUUGAGGGCACAAAGCAUCCAGCAUGGGAGAAAGAUGUAGGCUGGGAGGCUAGGACAGUCUAUCUUUUCACAUUUUUUUGCCUGCUUAUAUUCUAGCUGCGCUGGCAGCUGAUUAGAUUGUGCCCACCCAAAUUAAGAAUGAGUCUGCUGUUCCCAACCCACUGAUUCUCAAAUGUUAACCUCCUUUGGCAACACCAUCACAGACACACCGAAGAUCAAUACUUUGUAUCCUUCAAUCCACUCAAGCAAUCAAGUUGACACUCAGUACUAACCAUCAUAUGGUUACUGCAAAUAAAAAAACAUAUUACAGAUACACAAAAAAUAAAAAGCAAGAAAUUAAAACAUACCACAAGAGAAAAUCACCUUUACUUAAAAGAAGUCAGGAAGGACAAAAAACAAAAACAAAAACAAAACAAAACAAAACAAAAACCCAUGAAACAGCCAGAAAACAAGUAACAGAAUGGUAGGAGCAAGCUCUUUUCAAUAAUAACAUUGAAUGUAAAUGGAGUAAACUCUAAUCAAAAGAGAAAAAGUGGCUGAAUGGAUGAAAAAAAAAAACUAGACCCGAUGAUCUAUUACCUACAAGAAACACCUUUCAUCUAUAAAGACACAAAUAGACUGAAAAUAAAGGAAUGGAAAAAGAUAUUCCAUGCCAGUGAAAACAAAAACAGAGCAUGUGUAGCUACAAAAAUAUCAGAGAAAAUACAUUUCAAGACAAAAACUAUAAGAAGACACAAGGAAGGUGAUUAUAUAAUGAUAAAGGGGUCGAUUCAGCAGGAGAAUAUAACAAUUCUAAGUAUACUUACACUCAACACUGGAACACCCAGAGGUAUAAAGCAAAUAUUAUUAGAGCUUAACAGAGAAAGACUCCAAAACAAUAACAGCUGGAGACUUCAAUACCCCACCUUCAACAUUGAACAGAUCACCCAGACAGAAAAUCAACAAAGUAACAUCAGAUAAUAUGCACCACAGAUGAAGUGAACCUAAAAAUAUUUACAGAACAUUUCAUCCAACAGCUGCAGAAUACAUAUUCUUCUCUUUGGCACAUGGAUCAUUCUGAAGAACAGACCAUGUGUUAGAUGACAAGUGUUAAAAAAAUUUAACAAGUGAAAUAAUAUCAAAUCCCUUAUAUGACCACAGUGGAAUAAAAUUAGAAAUCAAUAACAAGAGGAAGUUUGGAAAGUAUAUAGACACAUGGAAAUUAAAUAAUAUGCUCCUGAAUUACCAGUAGAUCAAUAAAGAAAUUAAGAAGGGAAGUGAAAAAUUUCAGCCCACUUUCACUACUGUGAUUCAACACAGUACUAGAAGUCCUAGCUGGAGCAAUCAGAUAAGAGAAGGAAAUAAACACAUCCCAAUUGGAAUGGAAAAAGUCAAGUUAUCCUUGUUUUUAGAUGAUAUAAUCUUAUAUUUGAAAAAACAUAAAGAUUCCACAAAAAAACAUUAGAUCUGAUAAACAAAUUCAGUCAAGUUGCAGAAUACAAAAUCAACAUGCAAAAAUUAGUAGCAUUUCUGUAUGCUAACAGUGAACAACAUAAAAUGAAAUCAAGAAAGUAACCCCCUUCACAAUAGGUAAAAUAAAAUACCCAUAAAUUAGCUUAACCAAAGAAGUGAAAAAUAUCUACAAGAAAAGCUGUGAAACAUUGAAAUAAAUUGACUAGGAAGCAAAAAAAUAGAAAGAUAUUCCAUGUUCAUGAUUUGGAAGAAUAUUGUUAAAAUGUCCAUACUACCCAAAGCAAUCUACAGAUUAAAUGCAAUCCCUCUUAAUAUACCCAUGACAUCCUUCAUAGAAAUAGGAAAAAUAAUCCUAAAAUUUAUAUGGAACCACAAAAGACCCAGAAUAGCCAAAGCUAUCCUGAGCAAAAUAAAACUGUAGGAACCACAUUACCUGACUGCAAAGCAGAAUGGAACUAGCAUAAAAAGAGACAUAUAGACCAAUGGAACAGAAUAGAGAACAAAGAGUAAACUUAUUGUCAACAAAAAUGCCAAGAACACUCACUGGGAAAAGAACACUCUCCUCAAUAAACGGUGCUGGGAAAACUGGAUAUCCAUAUGCAGAAGAAUGAAACUACACCCUUACCUCUUUCCAUAUAUAAAAGUCAAAUCAGAAUAGAUUAAAGACCUAACUCUGAGACCUCAAAAUAUGAAACUAUGAAAUAAAACUUUUGGGGAAAUUCUUCAGGACAUUGGAAUUGGCAACGAUGUGUUGAGUGAUACCCCCUAAUGCACAGGCAACCAAAGCAAAAAUAGACAAAUGGGAUCACAUCAAGUUAAAAACCUUCCAUACAGCAAAGAAGACAAUAAACAAAGUGAAAAGACAAACCACAGAAUGGGAGAAAAUAUUUGCAAACUACCCAUCUGAGAAGGGAUUAAUAACCAGAAUACAUAAAGAGUUCAAACAAUUCUAUAGGAAAAAAUCUAAUAAUCUGAUUAAAAAUGGGCAAAAGAUGUGAAUAGACAUUUCUGAAAUGAAGAUAUGCAAAUGGCAAACGGGUACAUGGAAAGGUACUCAACAUCAUUGAUCAGAGAAAUGAAAAUCAAAACUAUAACGAGACCAAAUCUCACCCCAGUUAAAGUUUAUCCAAAAGUCAGGCAAUAACAAAUGCUGGUGAGGAUGUGGAGAAAUGGGAACCCUUGAACAGUAUUGGUGCAAAUGUAUGUUUUAUUAAAACUACUAUGGAGUAUAGUUUGGCGUUUCCUCAGAAAACUAAAAAUAGAGCUAACAUAUGAUCCAGCAAUUCUACUCCUAGUUAUAUACUCAAGAGAAAGAAAAUCAGUAUAUUGGAGAGAUAUCUGCAUUCCUAUGUUUAUUGGAGCACAACUCACAAUAGCCAAGAUUUAAAAGCAAACUAAGUGUCCAUCAGCAGAUGAAUAGAUAAAAAGUAGUACAUACAUACAAUGGAGUACUAUUGAGCCAUAAAAAAGAAUGAAAUCCUGUUAUUUGCAACAACAUGGAUGGAACUGGAGGUCAUUAUGUUAAGUGAAAUAAGCCAGGCACAGAAAGACAAACAUCACAUGCUCCCAAUUAUUUUGGGGAGCUAAAAAUUAAAACAAUUUAAUUGAUGGAGAUAGAGGGUAUAAUGAUGGUAACCAGAGGCUGGGAAUGGUGUUUGGGGGUCGGGGAAGUUGGGAUGGUUAACACUUAUAAAAAUAUUGGCUGGGUGCGGUGGCUCACAUCUGCAAUCCCAGCAUUUUGGGAGGCCAAGGUGGGUGGAUCACCUGAGGUCAGGAGCUCGAGACCAGCCUGGCCAACAUGGUGAAACCCCGUCAUUACUAAAAAUACAAAAAUUAGUCAGGCAUGGUGGUGCACGCCUGUAAUCCCAGCUACUCAGAAGGCUGAGGCAUGAGAAUCACUCGAACCCAGGAGGCGGAGGUUGCAGUGAGCUGAGAUUACACCACUGCACUACAGCCUGGGCAACAGAGUGAGACUCCAUCUCAAAAAAAAAUUGUUAGAAUAAACAAGAUUUAGUAUUUUUAAAUAACUAAAAGUAUAAUUGGACUGUUUGUAAGAGAAAUAAAGGAUAAAUGCUUGAAGUUGUAGAUAUUCAAUUUAUCCUCAUUUGAUUAUUACACAUUGUAUACCUGUAUUAAGAUAUCUCAUAUACCCCAUAAAUAUAUAUACCUAGUAUGUACCCAGAAAAAUUAAAAAUAAAAAAAAAACUUGUUUUAAAAGGCAUAGAGUGGCUGAAUGAAUAAAGAAACAACCUGGGGAGUAGUGGCCAAGAUGGUCAUCUAGAAGCAGCUAGGUUGUGUGGCUCUCACGAAGAGGAACAGAAGGGGUGAAUAAAUACAAGACCUUCAACCAAAAUAUUCAGUUACUCACAUUGGGAUUAAUCUAGGAAACAACUUGACCCACAGAGAACAAAGAAAAGCAAGAGGACAACAGCCCAUCUGGGAGCAACACGGAGGCAGGUGAAUCCUCCUCCACCCAGGGAAGCCAUGCUUCUCCCACAGAUCUUUGCAACCCUUGGGUAAGGAGAUUUCCUUGAGAACCCACCCCACCAGGGCCCUCAGUCUUCAGUCUGACAAAUAGAGUUACAUUGAGUCUUGGCAGAGCAGCCGCUCAGGCAUGUGUGGAGACACUGGAGCCUUAGAAACUUGGGCGUUUCAGCAAAAGUAGCUGCAGCUCCCACAAAGUGGGAGGUUAGACUCCUGUACAUAGCCCUAGGAAAGAAGCUGAAUCCAGGGGGCUGAGCAGUAACAGCCCACAGGCCUCACUUCCAUGGCACCUCACAAGAUAAGAUCCACUGGCUUGGAAUUCCAGUCAGCUAGCAGUAGCAGCAUUGCACUUCCCUAAAAAGGAGCUCCUGGUGGGAGGGGCGAGCCACCGUCUUUGCUUUUCAGGUGCCUUAGUCGUUCCAGCCUUCAGGCUUUGAGAGUCUAGCUGACCUGGGGCAAAAGGGAUUCCCCAGCACAGCCUAGCUCCUCUACCAAAACAAAGCCAGACUGCUGCUUUAGGCCGGCGCCUGAUCCUGUUCUUCCUCACUGGUCAGGUCCUCCCAACCAGGGCCUCCGGCCACCCCCACCCAAUCUCUCCAACUGAC